rnacentral:rRNA from 1 species
UACAGAGGUCUCAAGCGUUGUUCGGAUUCAUUGGGCGUAAAGGGUGCGUAGGUGGCGCCAUAAGUCAGGUGUGAAAUCUCGGGGCUCAACCCCGAAACUGCAUUUGAUACUGUGGUGCUCGAGUACUGGGGAGGAGAUUGGAAUUUACGGUGUAGCAGUGAAAUGCGUAGAUAUCGUAAGGAAGACCAGUGGCGAAGGCGAAUCUCUGGACAGUUACUGACACUGAGGCACGAAGGCCAGGGGAGCAAACGGG